CCUACGGGGGGCAGCAGUGGGGAAUAUUGCACAAUGGGCGAAAGCCUGACGCAGCAACGCCGCGUGAAGGAAGACGGUUUUCGGAUUGUAAACUUCUAUCAAUAGGGAAGAAAAAAAUAACGGUACCUAAAUAAGAAGCCCGGGCUAACUACGUACCAGCAGCCGCGGUAAUACGUAGGGGACAAGCGUUAUCCGGAUUUCCUGGGUGUAAAGGGAGGGUAGGCGGCAAGGUAAGCGAUAUGUGAAAUCCUGAAGCUUAACUAAAGGAUUGAAUAACGAACUGUCUUGCUAGAGUACAGGAGAGGAAAGCGGAAUUCCUGGUGUAGCGGUGAAAUGCGUAGAUAUUAGGAAGAACACCAGUGGCGAAGGCGGCUUUCUGGACCGAAACUGACGCUGAGGCUCGAAAGCGUGGGGAGCGAACAGGAUUAGAUACCCCUGUAGUC
rnacentral:rRNA from 1 species